rnacentral:rRNA from 1 species
AUUGAACUCUGGCGGCAUGCUUUACACAUGCAAGUCGGACGAGUGGCGAACGGGUGAGUAACAUAUUGGAACGUACCGAGUAAUGGGGGAUAACCCAUCGAAAGGUCAGCUAAUACCGCAUAUUAUUCGAGCGGCCGAUUUCUGAUUAGCUGGUUGGUGGGGUAACGGCCCACCAGGGCGACGAUCAGUAGCGGGUCUGAGAGGAGGAUCAGCCACACUGGGACGGAGACACGGCCCAGACUCCUACGGGAGGCAGCAGUGGGGAAUUGUGGACAAUGGGCGCAAGCCUGAUCCAGCCAUGCCGCGUGUCUGAAGAAGGCCUUCGGGUUGUAAAGGACUUUUGUCAGGGAAGCGGUACCUGAAGAAUAAGCACCGGCUAACUACGUGCCAGCAGCCGCGGUAAUAC